GUUUUUAUAGUUUAAAUAAAACAUUGGUCUUGUAAACCAAAAAUAAAAAUAUUUUUUAAAAACU
rnacentral:tRNA from 1 species